UUAAGUUCAGCGGGUAUUCCUACCUGAUCCGAGGUCAACCUUUAAAAUUUGGGGGUUUUACGGCAGGGGACCGGCCCAACUACAGACGAGAUAGAUUUACUACGUCAGGAGUGUGAGACCGACUCCGCCACUAACUUUAGGGAGCUACAGCGAUGUAGGCUCCCAACGCUAAGCAACAGGGCUUAAGGGUUGAAAUGACG
rnacentral:misc_RNA from 1 species